UCUCCCUUCAUCCAGAAACAGGCACUGGUAGGAUACCAGCACUGAGCCUUGGGUCACCUAUGGAGGAUUUAAGGGUGGUCCCUGUCUCCGCUAUCAUCACAACCAGGGCUUCAUAAUUCUAUCAUCCUUGCUUACCUGUAUGCAUUUGUCUGUUUCAGUGGUGUGGGUGUAGGAAGGGGACUUGUCCUACCUCCACGGUGCCUAAAUCUAGUGGCGAAGCCCACAGCCCAACCGUGUCUGUCAAGCCUUUGUCGACAAGCUCUUGGUAAAAGCAGGCAAAUCUGAUCUAAGCCUGACACGAAGGAAUCUUCGCUCGGGAGUUGUGUCUUGCGGGUCAGGACAGCUCAGGGCUGACACAGGUUCGCAUGGUGUAAGUCAUCGAGGUCAGCCCCUGGUGCUCAGUGCUCCAGCCACAAGCACACAGCCGGUGAGUGAGCACUUGGGGAGACCUCCCGCGCACUCACCCUUAGCCAGAACUGGCAAGAGCCCUUGGUAGGUAAAGUCCGGUCAGCAGGCCGGGGCUAAGCUCUCUCCUCCACAAGCCUCUAAAAUUGGAGCCUGUGCUCAAACAGGUCGGGAAAAAGGCACAGGAAGACGGGAAGUUGAACGCAGUCCCACAUCCCUUGCGGCUCCCGCGGGUGCAGCGGGCGGGCGCCGGGCGCCUCCGGGCUCCGGGCACCCGCGGCCCCGGACUUGCGGGAGAUUUGAGGCCCGCGCGGACCUGACUCCCCAGACGACCGGCCAGGGGGCUUGGCCUCCCCGCCCCACCAGACCGGCUCCACGCCGCGGGGACGCCCUCCCCCCGCCGCCCGCAGAGGGCCCGACCCAGCAGGCUGCUCCAGGACGCCGCAGCGCUCCCUCAUCCGCCCCGGGCCUCGGCGGCUGGAGGCUCCCGACGGAUUCCUCCUCACUCCAAGCCCAGAGCGCCGGGGGGGGGGGGGGGGGGGGGCGGAGGUUCCCACGGCGUCUACCCCUCGGUCCCCACCUUACGGCCCUGCUCGUCUCUGGCGACCCACCCUGGGAGCAGAACUGGCCUCCCUCCCUCAACGCUCUCUCAGCAACUGCCCGCGACCCAAGAUCCCUCGACAAUCCCCAAAGGCCCCCAGUCAGCACCCCAACAGCACCCAGUCGGCCCCCAAGGGAAUCCAGCCAAUCCCAACACAGUCCCAACACAAUCCCUACCGGUUCCCAGCCAGCUCCCAAAAGCCUCUAGCCAGCCUCCAAAGGCUUUCAGCCAAUCCCCAACGGCCCUCAGCCAGUCCCAAAGUCCUCCUGCCAAUCCCCAACGGGACCCAGUCAGCCCCUAAGAGAAUUCAGCCAAUUCCCAACGGUCCCCAGCCAGUGCCCAACGGCUCCCAGCCAACCCCCAGUGAACCCUGGUCAGCCUCCAACAGACCUCAACUACCCUACGUUUGGAUCUUAACCUACUCUCCAGCCAGGGUGGGGCUGGGAAGGCUCCCUAGAGGACACUGUGUUGGAGGGGCAGGAAGGAUGAGGAGAGCUGACAAAGAGGGUCUGCAGGAUUUCCAAAACUUCUAACACAGCCCUGAAGCUGGCUAGUCACUGCCUUUGCCACUGUCACUGCGAAGGUCUGGGCAGCGCUGUGUGAGAGAGGACAAGGCCACAGAAUGACAUACCUCAACAGAUAAAAGAAGGGGACUUACAUACACACCGUUGUUUUACUUGGAAGGAAUGGAGGAUUCUCCUU
rnacentral:lncRNA from 1 species